rnacentral:tRNA from 1 species
GCGUCGGUGGUUCAGUGGUAGAAUGCUCGCCGGCCAAGCGGCGGCCCGGGUUCGAUUCCCGGCCGAUGCA